rnacentral:rRNA from 1 species
GACGAACGCUGGCGGCGUGCUUAACACAUGCAAGUCGAACGGAAAGGCCCUGCUUUUGUGGGGUGCUCGAGUGGCGAACGGGUGAGUAACACGUGAGUAACCUGCCCUUGACUUUGGGAUAACUUCAGGAAACUGGGGCUAAUACCGGAUAGGAGCUCCUGCUGCAUGGUGGGGGUUGGAAAGUUUCGGCGGUUGGGGAUGGACUCGCGGCUUAUCAGCUUGUUGGUGGGGUAGUGGCAUACCAAGGCUUUGACGGGUAGCCCGCCUGAGAGGGUAGACGGGGCACAUAGGGCUACGGGAGGGGCCAGUAGGGAACGGGAGGCAGCAGGGGGGAGUAUUGCACAGUGGGCGGGAGCCUGAUGCAGCAGCGCCGCGUGCGGGAUGACGGCCUUCGGGUUGUAAACCGCUUUCGACUGUGACGAAGCGUGAGUGACGGUAAUGGGUAAAGAAGCACCGGCUAACUACGUG